UACAGAGGGUGCGAGCGUUGUCCGGAAUCACUGGGCGUAAAGGGCGCGUAGGUGACGCCGCAAGUCGGUGGUGAAAGCUCGAUGCUCAACAUCGAGUCGGCCAUCGAAACUGCGGGGCUGGAGCACUGUAGGGGCAGAUGGAAUUCCGGGUGUAGCGGUGGAAUGCGCAGAUAUCAGGAGGAACACCGGUGGCGAAGGCGGGUCUCUGGGCAGUAACUGACGCUGAGGAGCGAAAGCGUGGGGAGCGAACAGG
rnacentral:rRNA from 1 species